rnacentral:rRNA from 1 species
AACGAACGCUGGCGGCAGGCCUAACACAUGCAAGUCGAACGCCCCGCAAGGGGAGUGGCAGACGGGUGAGUAACGCGUGGGAAUAUCCCCCUUAGUACGGAAUAGCCCAGGGAAACUUGGAGUAAUACCGUAUACGUCCGUAAGGAGAAAGAUUUAUCGCUGAGGGAUUAGCCCGCGUAGGAUUAGCUAGUUGGUGAGGUAAUGGCUCACCAAGGCGACGAUCCUUAGCUGGUUUGAGAGAAUGACCAGCCACACUGGGACUGAGACACGGCCCAGACUCCUACGGGAGGCAGCAGUGGGGAAUCUUGGACAAUGGGCGCAAGCCUGAUCCAGCCAUGCCGCGUGAGUGACGAAGGCCUUAGGGUUGUAAAGCUCUUUUACCAGG